CAGAGCAUAGCAAAAAAUAAAGCAUCUCCCUUACUCUGAGAAGACGCCCAUGAAACCUGGGCUGCCCUGA
rnacentral:tRNA from 1 species